CGCCGCGGUUAUACGGGAUUUGGCCCAAGUUGACAGUAUACGGCGUAAAGGGUGGUUAAGAGACUAGGGUUAAAAUAAAGCCGAACACCCCUCCUGCUGUUAUACGCAAUCGGGGUUAAAGAAGACCAAUUACGAAAGUAGCUUUACCUCCCCUCACUGAAUCCACGAAAGUUAUGAUA
rnacentral:rRNA from 1 species